AAACAAUUUGAGAUGACCAGUAGUGGAUAUCAAUUUACACAACAUCAGAGAACUCAUACUGUGAAAAACACAAUAGAUGUAAAAAAAUGUGAGAAGAUAUUACAAUUCAAUUUAGUCCUUAUCACAGACAUAGUGAAUUCAUACUGAUGAAAAACUUUAUGAAUGUUAAGAAUAUGUGAAAGCUAUUAUUUGUGUGGACUAUUUAGCCAACACCAGAGAAUUCAUACUAGUAAGAGGUUCUAUGAAUAUAAGGAAUGUGGGAAGCUCUUUAGAAUGAAUUGAGUUUAUUCUGUAAAUUAGAAUUCAUGCUGAUUCUACACUUUAUAAGUAUUAGGAAUGUUGGAAAUCCUUUCUUGUGUGCCGGCAAGUCACUCACUAUAAGAGAAUUCAUACUGUUGAAAAACCUGAAAAAAUGUAAGAACUGUGGAAGGACAUUUAAAUUUUAAUCCUUAUUAUGUAUCAGAGAAUUCAUAUGGUGAGAAACUAUGAAUAUAAGGGAUGCAAUAAAGCCUUCCUUGUAUUCGGACAAUGUACUCAAUAUCAGAGUAUUCAUAUAAGUGCCAAAUUUCAUGAAUGUAAGGAACAUAAGGUCUUUAAUCUGAUUUGAGUUCUUCUGAGAAACAGAUAAUUCAUACUGGUGACAAACUUUAUGAAUGUAAAGAAUGUAGUAAAGCCUUUAUUGUGUCUGGACACAUUGCUCAAUAUCAGAGAA
rnacentral:lncRNA from 1 species